UGGGCGUCGCUUAUGCAUGCAGUCGAACGGCCGAGCAUAUAACUUGUUAUGUGCUCGGUAGUGGCGAAUGGCUGAGUAACGCGUAAGUAACCUAGCUUGGAGCGGGAAAUAACUUGCCGAAAGGCGAGCUAAUGUCCCAUGCGGUCACUAGGCAAAUGCUUGGUUAUUAAAGCCUUCGGGUGCUCCAAGAAGGGCUUGCGUCCGAUUAGCUAGUUGGUGGGGUAAUGGCCUACCAAGGCGAUGAUCGGUAGCUGGUCUGAGAGGAUGGACAGCCAGAUGGGGACUGAGAUACGGCCCCAACUCCUACGGGAGGCAGCAGCAAGGAAUCUUGGGCAAUGGGCGAAAGCCUGACCCAGCGACACCGCGUGAGGGAUGAAGGCCUUCGGGUUGUAAACCUCUUUUCUUGGGGAAGAAUUCUGACGGUACCCAAGGAAUAAGCCUCGGCCAACUACGUGCCAGCAGCCGCGGUAAUACGUAGGAGGCGAACGUUAUUCGGAUUUACUGGGCGUAAAGGGAGCGUAGACGGCUCCUUAAGUUAGAUGUAAAAUCUUCUGACUCAAUCAGAAGGUGUCAUUUGAUACUGAGGGGCUCGAGAGCAGCAGAGGGAAAUGGAAUUUCCGGUGUAGCGGUGAAAUGCGUAGAUAUCGGGAAGAACACCAGUGGCGAAGGCGAUUUCCCAGGCUGCUUCUGACGUUGAGGCUCGAAAGCGUGGGGAGCGAAGCGGAUUAGAUACCCGCAUAGUCCACGCCCUAAACGGUGGACACUAGAUAUGGGAGGUAUCGACCCUUUCUGUGUCGAAGCUAACGCUUUAAGUGUCCCG
rnacentral:rRNA from 1 species